AAUUGUACAGUUUUGUAGUAAAAAAUGUAACAUCAAUAAUAAUACAAGAGGCACUAUUCAUAAAUGUAAUAUUGUGUUUUAUGGUCGAACAACUCCUGGAGAUCGUACAGAGACUCUCAAAUCAUCAGUAAAUAAUCCAUCAGGUAGCCCCAGUAUGAAUGGAUCUGGAGUUCUUGGUAAAGCAGAAAAAAAUGUUCCUGCGCAACAAAAAUGUGAAAUUCUGGGUGAGGCUAUUGAUAAAUAUAUAGCUUUUAUGUUGGAUAUUGGCGGAGAAAUAGAUUUUGAUAAAUUGAUCUUUCCUUAUUGCGCG